rnacentral:rRNA from 1 species
GACGGGGGGGGCAAGUGUUCUUCGGAAUGACUGGGCGUAAAGGGCGUGUAGGCGGCACUGUAAGUCAGAUGUGAAAUCUCCCGGCUCAACCGGGAGCGUGCAUCUGAUACUGCAGUACUUGAGUGAUAGAGGGGAAAGCGGAAUUCCUAGUGUAGCGGUAAAAUGCGUAGAUAUUAGGAGGAACACCAGUGGCGAAGGCGGCUUUCUGGCUAUUAACUGACGCUGAGGCGCGAAAGCGUGGGGAGCAAACAGG